AGUCACUGACAUUAGAUACCCCGGUAGUCCCAGCCGUAAACUAUGCUCGCUAGGUGUCAGGGACGGUGCGACCGUUUCUGGUGCCGCAGGGAAGCCGUGAAGCGAGCCACCUGGGAAGUACGGUCGCAAGGCUGAAACUUAAAGGAAUUGGCGGGGGAGCACAACAACGGGUGGAGCUUGCGGUUUAAUUGGAUUCAACGCCGGAAAUCUUACCGGGACCGACAGCAACAUGAAGGCCAAGCUGAAGACUUUGCCGGAUUAGCUG
rnacentral:rRNA from 1 species